rnacentral:lncRNA from 1 species
CAGAGCUAGAAGAAGACGGUUAUACCUCUUCUCACAUAGGUCGACUAGCUUCCACUGCAGAGAAAGAAACAGGGAUGAACGCUAAUACUUUAAGAAAAUUGACCACCAAACAGAUCAAAUGUGUUGUGCUAGCUGGAGGAUCAGAACUUCUUUUGCUGGAAAACAUAAUUUUCAGCAUUAUUGAAAGGUUAUCACCUCCUGGAUUACGUCGACGGGAAGGUGGAAAUCACGCCGGGAACCAUCACCGAGCAAUAAGAUGGCCAGCUAAUUUUAAGCUGGAUCCUCACGUCGAUUUCACCCUCCAUCUUCAUACAGGUUAGCGCGCUGACGACGUCCGCCGAGGUCUGGAAAUAUCUUGCCGAUAUGUUCGCGUCUAAUUCCGAGACGCGGGUGCUUCAUCUUCGCUUCCAAUUGCAGAGCAUCAAGAAGGAAGAUCUAAGCAUGCUAGAUUUCUUGAAAAAGAUUUCAAUUGCCAAAGAUAGAUUGGCUGCUGCGGAAGAAGGACUCAAGGAUUCCCAAAUCAUCUUGAUAGCAUUGGGCGGACUUGGGUCCGAGUACCAACCAUUCGUGACAUCGGUCACAACCAGGUUUGAUAGCAAGAUGACUUUCCCCAAUUUAAAAGAAUUUUACCGGAUCAUGAUCUACAACUCUCAACAACAUCGACACCCAUACGGAAUGAAGCAAAUGUUGUUGUGAAAAAUAAAAACG